rnacentral:rRNA from 1 species
UACAGAGGGGGCAAGCGUUAUCCGGAUUUACUGGGCGUAAAGGGUGUGUAGGCGGCUGUGUAGGUGUUGCGUUCCAGCGCCCGGCUUAACUGGGCGAGCGCGCGACAAACCACACGGCUCGAGGGGUGCAGAAGUUGGUGGAAUUGCCCGUGUAGCAGUGAAAUGCGUAGAGAUGGGCAGGAACACCAAGGGCGCAAGCAGCCAACUGGGCACCACCUGACGCUGAGGCACGAGAGCGUGGGGAGCGAACAGG